rnacentral:lncRNA from 1 species
AAAUAAGUCCUCAUUAUAAUUAUUCAUACACUAUUUUACAGAAAUAGUGAGGACGGCUAAAACCUCUUCCUAGAACCAUCACUCCAUACCCUGACUCGAUCCUGCUAUGUUCUCACCUCCUGAGAAGAAAAAUGGAACAAAAAGGAAAGGGUGAGCUCAACUAGCCCAGUAAAGAAUAUUAUGACUAAGAUAAUAUACAACAAAUUAUCGUUAGUCUUCAACAGGAAAUAAUCUGAUAAAAUAUAAUAGACAACAAGUUUUAGAUCAACAAAUGCAGCGGAACAGCAAUCCAUUAGAAGAGUCACGUAGAGAAAGAAUUCUACUGUCUUCUAAGGUUUAAAAGUCCAUCAUCAAUAUUUUAUCCCUGUAACAACAAUCAAUAUACAUCUUUAAUCAUCUUUGCACUACAGGCCAAAGAUAUUCAUUUAUAUCACCAUUUAGGACUGAGGAUGAUGAAAAAUCAAAACAUGGAUUCAACUUUUAGGAAUAAGGGUCACAACAAAUAAUUUGGAAAAAAUUAUUAUUUUAUUUUUUUUUGUGAACAGUACCCAUGAACAGUACCGUGAACAGUACCCAUGAAUAGUACUCAUGAACAGUACCCAUGAACAGUACCAGUGAACAGUACCAGUAAUGACAAGUUUUAAAUUUGAUAAAAAGUUCAGACCAAUAUUCCUAUGAAAUGAUAUUAGAUGAAACAAAAUUUCUAAUCAUUUCAGGAAUUAUAGAAGCAAUACUUACCAUAGUAAGUUCAAAUUUAAGAAUACGAGAUGAAAUAAUAUUGCUUACAUAAUAUGGAGUAUGAAAGGAAAUAAUAUUUCUCAUGAGUAUUGAAAAAAAAUAAUAUCCUUUACCCCGGUAGAAACUGGAUUUGACUGGAAUAUCAGAUAUUAUUCUGAGAAAAUCUUGCAGAAAAACUACGCUCAAAGUAUUCCUAUACUCAAGCAAAAUACUCACAAUACUAUAGAAAAAUUCUC